rnacentral:tRNA from 1 species
GCCCCUGUAGUUCAAUUGGAUAGAACAUGGGCGUCCUAAGCCUAAGAUGGAGGUUCAAAUCCUCCCAGGGGCA